GGCUCGUGUCCUCACAAAAUGGGUCUGAUAGAUUUUUAUGUACAGUACCAAUUCCAGUGUAGUGGCUAUGAGAUUUCAGCUGGAUUUGACUACAUCUAAGGAAGGAGCAAGUCCUGACAUAAUCAAGCGAUGGAUUUGGCCCAUUCUUCCCAGGAAAAUGUGUAUGUUCACUGAGGACAUCAAUAAUAACAACACUGUUCAGAAGUAAAUGCAAAGGACCAGAUUUUUAAAAUCAGUCUCUAAGUAUUGCAAGCAAGUUUUGUAUAUUCAGAACAGAUUAAGAAGAGUCCUAUGGGUGCUCCUGGAAAUGAAAGAUUAGUAAGCCUUACUUCAGGACCUGCUAAUUCCUUGAAACAGUAAUUACAGAACACACCUAGAUGAACAUAUAUUUGAUAAGAGCACACCACAAAGGACUCC